rnacentral:lncRNA from 1 species
CCCAGCAGCAAAAUGUUCAUUCGCCCCAGACCAGAGGUAAGACACAUGUUAAAAUAAUGCUGUUUUGUCAUUAGUAAUGCAUAUGUGUUAAAUUAGACUGUGUGGAAUACAUUUAUGAAUUCAUUCUUUUAUUUCAAGAAGUCAUUGCUGUGUCUUCCAGAGCAUGGAUCAGACUCAAAAGUCACCUCUGUUCAUAGCAAUAACUGUCAUUGUAAAUAUGAUUCUGUGGAUGGUGGCGCUGACAGCUGUCGGACUGGGUUCCCUUCACCUGCAUUACUGCCCGGGCCAACCCAGCGUGCCCACUUCCCUCGUAGUGCUGGGGGCUUCUGGGCUGAUGUGUUUGGUGCUGAUGUACCUGAGGAGCACAGUCAGCGAGGGGGUGGCCAGCCGGCUGUGCUCCACGUGCUGUGUCCUGUGCCUCGUCUUCAACUUCUGGCUUCUGGUCGCAGGAAGCAAGCGAGUCUACGCCAUGGACGAUGCGGAAUUAACCUGCUCUUCUAGAGAUAGCUGCUGUCAAAAGAAGCUUUACGUCUUCGCCAUCAUAUUUACCUCCUUCUGCUUCGUUGUCUAUAUUUUUUUGUUCUCUGCGUGUGCUGCCUUUACGCUGCAUUCACUGUGUUUCGCAGGGAAACGUGGCUUCUUUGUGAAAAACAAAUUUUACACACAAGUCUAA